rnacentral:rRNA from 1 species
UGGGGAAUAUUGGGCAAUGGGCGAAAGCCUGACCCAGCAACGCCGCGUGAGGGAAGAAGGCCUUCGGGUUGUAAACCUCUGUCCUUGGUGACGAAGAAAGUGACGGUAGCCAAGGAGGAAGCCCCGGCUAACUACGUGCCAGCAGCCGCGGUAAUACGUAGGGGGCGAGCGUUGUCCGGAAUUACUGGGCGUAAAGGGUGCGUAGGUGGCCUUUUAAGUUGGAUGUGAAAUACCCGGGCUUAACUUGGGGGGUGCAUCUAAUACUGGGAGGCUAGAGUGCAGGAGAGGGAAGCGGAAUUCCUAGUGUGGCGGUGAAAUGCGUAGAUAUUAGGAGGAACACCAGUGGCGAAGGCGGCUUUCUGGACUGUAACUGACACUGAGGCACGAAAGC